GCGCGAAAACUUUACAAUGCUGGCAACAGCGAUAAGGGAACCUCGCGUGCCAGGUUACAAAUCUGGCUGUCGAGAUGCCUAAAAAGCAUUUCAUAGCAAGGGCCGGGCAAGACCGGUGCCAGCCGCCGCGGUAACACCGGCGGCUCGAGUGGUAACCGUUAUUAUCGGGUCUAAAGGGUCUGUAGCCGGCCGGAUAAGUCUCUUGAGAAAUCUGGCAGCUUAACUGUCAGGCUUUCAGGAGAUACUGUCUGGCUCGAGGCCGGGAGAGGUGAGAGGUACUUCAGGGGUAGGGGUGAAAUCUUGUAAUCCUUGAAGGACCACCAGUGGCGAAGGCGUCUCACCAGAACGGACCUGACGGCAAGGGACGAAAGCUAGGGGCACGAACC
rnacentral:rRNA from 1 species